GAUGAACGCUGGCGGUAUGCUUAAUACAUGCAAGUCGUACGAAGACUUUUAGUCUUAGUGGCGGACGGGUGAGUAACACGUGAGAAUCUGCCCUUAGGAGGAGGAUAACAGCUGGAAACGGUUGCUAAUACUCCAUAUGCCGAGAGGUGAAAGGAUGUAUCUGCCUAAGGAGGAGCUCGCGUCUGAUUAGCUAGUUGGUGGGGUAAUGGCCUACCAAGGCGACGAUCAGUAGCUGGUUUGAGAGGAUGAUCAGCCACACUGGGACUGAGGCACGGCCCAGACUCCUACGGGAGGCAGCAGUAGGGAAUUUUCCGCAAUGGGCGAAAGCCUGACGGAGCAAUACCGCGUGAGGGAUGACGGCCUGUGGGUUGUAAACCUCUUUUCUCAAGGAAGAAGUUCUGACGGUACUUGAGGAAUAAGCAUCGGCUAACUCUGUGCCAGCAGCCGCGGUAAUACAGAGGAUGCAAGCGUUAUCCGGAAUCACUGGGCAUAAAGCGUCUGUAGGUUGUUUAGUAAGUCUGCUGUUAAAGACUGGGGCUCAACCCCAGAAAAGCAGUGGAAACUGCUAGACUUGAGUGUGGUAGAGGUAGAGGGAAUUCCUAGUGUAGCGGUGAAAUGCGUAGAUAUUAGGAAGAACACCAAUGACGAAGGCACUCUACUGGGCCAUAACUGACACUCAGAGACGACAGCUAGGGGAGCAAAUGGGAUUAGAUACCCCAGUAGUCCUAGCCGUAAACGAUGGAUACUAGAUGUUGCACGUAUUAACCCGUGCAGUAUCGUAGCUAAGGCGUUAAGUAUCCCGCCUGGGAAGUACGCUCGCAAGAGUGAAACUCAAAGGAAUUGACGG
rnacentral:rRNA from 1 species